rnacentral:lncRNA from 1 species
AGAUAUCCAUCGAGAUCAAUCUCGAACUGAUCUCUCCCCAUAGAAGACUUUUCUUUCCAAUAAGAAUCUUAGCCUUGAACACUUCGAUCAACACCUUGAUCUGGACUACGGGAUCAACUCCUUGAUUAGCAGUCUUCUUUUUCUUCUCCUCGAUCUUCACUCUUGAAGUCACAAAGCACUAUCUCUUGGUGUGUGGAAAAGAGGAUGCCUAACUCUUGGGCAUGGAAGAGAAGAGAGGGAGGAGAG